GUGGUCACUCAGAGACAGCCAGCCUGACAGCUGCACAAUGACUGGGAGCGUGUAGGACAAAAAGUGCGGACCGAAUUUUCACAAAUAUAGCGUUCUCUGGAGACGGAGGAGAGCUGGGAACAGAAGGACUUGAGUUGGAUGGACUGAGUGUGAUGUGAGAGACAAGAGUGAAAUCAACCAAGUUUGGUUCCAGUGAUGCCAAUGCUGGACAGUCUAUUGAGGGGGAUGGAGUGAGAGAUUAUGUCAAAGGCCGCACUCAGAUCAAGGAGAAUGAGAAUGGAGUGUAUCAGCUACUACCAGGGGUGAAAGUAAGCCAGAACGAUCCGGUACUGCGUACAGGAAAAAGAUCUGGCGGCGGUAUGCUGCUCUUCCACCGGUACGCCGCCCGACUGCCUGGUAUCGACCGUUCACUCAGCAGUACUGUCCCUGGUCCCAG